rnacentral:rRNA from 1 species
GAUGAACGCUGGCGGCGUGCUUAACACAUGCAAGUCGAACGAAGCACUUUAUUUGAUUUCCUUCGGGACUGAUUAUUUUGUGACUGAGUGGCGGACGGGUGAGUAACGCGUGGGUAACCUGCCUUGUACAGGGGGAUAACAGUUGGAAACGGCUGCUAAUACCGCAUAAGCGCACGGCAUCGCAUGAUGCAGUGUGAAAAACUCCGGUGGUAUAAGAUGGACCCGCGUUGGAUUAGCUAGUUGGUGAGGUAACGGCCCACCAAGGCGACGAUCCAUAGCCGACCGGAGAGCAGGACACGUCAGAUUGGCAAUGAGGCACAGCCAACCAUCCUACGGGAGGCGGCGGAGGGGAAUAUUGCACAACGGGCUAGAGACUGAUGCAGGCGCGCUGCGAGAGCGGAGAAGUAGUUCGGUAGGUAACUCUCUCUUAGCAGCGAAGAUAAUGACGGUACCUUACGAAGAAGCACCGGCUAAAUACGUG